rnacentral:rRNA from 1 species
UAGGGAAUCUUCCGCAAUGGACGCAAGUCUGACGGAGCAACGCCGCGUGAGUGAAGAAGGAUUUCGGUUCGUAAAACUCUGUUGUUAGAGAAGAACAGCGCAUAGAGUAACUGUUAUGCGUGUGACGGUAUCUAACCAGAAAGCCACGGCUAACUACGUGCCAGCAGCCGCGGUAAUACGUAGGUGGCAAGCGUUGUCCGGAUUUAUUGGGCGUAAAGCGAGCGCAGGCGGUCAAUUAAGUCUGAUGUGAAAGCCCCCGGCUCAACCGGGGAGGGUCAUUGGAAACUGGUUGACUUGAGUGCAGAAGAGGAGAGUGGAAUUCCAUGUGUAGCGGUGAAAUGCGCAGAGAUAUGGAGGAACACCAGUGGCGAAGGCGGCUCUCUGGUCUGUAACUGACGCUGAGGCUCGAAAGCGUGGGGAGCGAACAGG